AUUGAACGCUGGCGGCAGGCUUAACACAUGCAAGUCGAGCGGGGUGAUGGUGCUUGCACUAUCACUUAGCGGCGGACGGGUGAGUAAUGCUUAGGAAUCUGCCUAUUAGUGGGGGACAACAUCUCGAAAGGGAUGCUAAUACCGCAUACGUCCUACGGGAGAAAGCAGGGGAUCACUUGUGACCUUGCGCUAAUAGAUGAGCCUAAGUCGGAUUAGCUAGUUGGUGGGGUAAAGGCCUACCAAGGCGACGAUCUGUAGCGGGUCUGAGAGGAUGAUCCGCCACACUGGGACUGAGACACGGCCCAAACUCCUACGGGAGGCAGCAGUGGGGAAUAUUGGACAAUGGGGGGAACCCUGAUCCAGCCAUGCCGCGUGCGUGAAGAAGGCCUUAUGGUUGUAAAGCACUUUAAGCGAGGAGGAGGCUCUUUUGGUUAAUACCCAAGAUGAGUGGACGUUACUCGCAGAAUAAGCACCGGCUAACUCUGUGCCAGCAGCCGCCGUAA
rnacentral:rRNA from 1 species